rnacentral:rRNA from 1 species
AUUCCUGUACUUGGUGUUACUGCGAAGGGGGGACGGAGAAGGCUAUGUUAGCCGGGCGACGGUUGUCCCGGUUUAAGCAUGUAGGCUGGUUAUCCAGGCAAAUCCGGAUAAUCAAGGCUGAGGUGUGAUGACGAAGCACUACGGUGCUGAAGUAACAAAUGCCCUGCUUCCAGGAAAAGCCUCUAAGCAUCAGGUAACAUCAAAUCGUACCCCAAACCGACACAGGUGGUCAGGUAGAGAAUACCAAGGCGCUUGAGAGAACUCGGGUGAAGGAACUAGGCAAAAUGGUGCCGUAACUUCGGGAGAAGGCACGCUGGUGUGUAGGUGAAG